rnacentral:lncRNA from 1 species
AAAGCUCUGACAUCCGCUCGACUUCCUAGGCACUAACUUCGACGCUACUCACUAAGGCGAUGCCUGAUGCGAUGACGAGGCAGUCCAUGACACGACUGCAACCUCGCUCUGCACUAAAUCUGACUGCGGUGCCCACCAUCGAAACAACAAUUGAAGCAUCCAAGGGCCUGACUGCACUAAUCACUAGGAGAAAGCAGAACGA